GACGAACGCUGGCGGCGUGCUUAACACAUGCAAGUCGAACGGUAAGGCCCCUUCGGGGGUACACGAGUGGCGAACGGGUGAGUAACACGUGAGUAACCUGCCCUUGACACUGGGAUAACACCUGGAAACAGGUGCUAAUACCGGAUAUGAACUUCCUCGGCAUCGAGGAGGUUGUAAAGCUCCGGCGGUCAAGGAUGGACUCGCGGCCUAUCAGCUUGUUGGUGAGGUAACGGCUCACCAAGGCUUCGACGGGUAGCCGGCCUGAGAGGGCGACCGGCCACAUUGGGACUGAGAUACGGCCCAAACUCCUACGGGAGGCAG
rnacentral:rRNA from 1 species